AGUGAACGCUGGCGGUAGGCCUAACACAUGCAAGUCGAACGGCAGCACAGUAAGAGCUUGCUCUUACGGGUGGCGAGUGGCGGACGGGUGAGGAAUACAUCGGAAUCUACUUUUUCGUGGGGGAUAACGUAGGUAAACUUACGCUAAUACCGCAUACGACCUACCGGUGAAAGCAGUGGAUCUUCGGACCUUGCGCGAUUGAAUGAGCCGAUGUCGGAUUAGCUAGUUGGCGGGGUAAAGGCCCACCAAGGCGACGAUCCGUAGCUGGUCUGAGAGGAUGAUCAGCCACACUGGAACUGAGACACGGUCAAGACUCCUACGGGAGGCAGCAGUGGGGAAUAUUGGACAAUGGGCGCAAGCAUGAUCCAGCGAUACCGAGUGGGUGAAGAAGGCCUUCGGGUUGUAAAGCCCUUUUGUUGGGAAAGAAAAGCAGCAGGUUAAUACCCCGCUGUUCUGACGGUACCCAAAGAAUAAGCACCGGCUAACUUCGUG
rnacentral:rRNA from 1 species